rnacentral:tRNA from 1 species
CGCGGGGUGGAGCAGCUCGGUAGCUCGCUGGGCUCAUAACCCAGAGGUCGUCGGUUCGAAUCCGGCCCCCGCUA